AUUGAACGCUGGCGGCAGGCUUAACACAUGCAAGUCGAGCGGAGAUGAGGUGCUUGCACCUUAUCUUAGCGGCGGACGGGUGAGUAAUGCUUAGGAAUCUGCCUAUUAGUGGGGGACAACAUUCCGAAAGGAAUGCUAAUACCGCAUACGUCCUACGGGAGAAAGCAGGGGAUCUUCGGACCUUGCGCUAAUAGAUGAGCCUAAGUCGGAUUAGCUAGUUGGUGGGGUAAAGGCCUACCAAGGCGACGAUCUGUAGCGGGUCUGAGAGGAUGGUCCGCCACACUGGGACUGGGAAACGGCCCAGACUCCUACGGGAGGCAGCAGUGGGGAAGAUUGGACAAUGGGGGAAACCCUGAUCCAGCCAUGCCGCGUGUGUGAAGAAGGCCUUAUGGUUGUAAAUCACUUUAAGCGAGGAGGAGGCUACUGAGACUAAUACUCUUGGAUAGUGGACGUUACUCGCAGAAUAAGCACCGGCUAACUCUGUGCCAGCAGCCGCCGUAA
rnacentral:rRNA from 1 species